rnacentral:lncRNA from 1 species
UUUUUUUUAGAGAGAGAGAGAGAGAGAGAGAGAGAGAGUGGUAGCAUGUAAUACCCAACGCAAGUGGUAAAAGACUUAAUCAUUAAUAUCCGAGGACUCAAAUUUGAAGGCCAAUUGUUUUAUAUUUUCAACUAAAUUUAUUUUAAAAAAAUAAACGAAGCAGAUAAUAUGCUACCGUCCUUCCAAAUAAAAUACUUGAAAUUAUUGCAGUGUGUGUAAAAUGAGUCAAAAAUAGUAUUACAUGUCAUAAUUAUAAGUGAAAAGUUUAAAAGUGUUUAUCCAUAGAUUUGUACUAGGUGGAUAAUGCAAAUUAAACCAAUAAUUAAUUCAGAGAGAGAGACAGACAGACAGACAGAUGAUCCCAUUUGUGAUGUGAAUUAUUGUUCCCUCAUAUAAACUUUCUUUAGAGAGAAUGACGAUAACAUAUUUAGGCGCCGAUAUGAUUUAAAAUAUCUCCAGUAUAGUAGAUAAACCAACUUUUUACAAAGAAGUAUUACUUUAGACUCACCAACCGUUUCUAGAGCAAGUGGCAAAGGGCUUGGUGGUUGGUACCUGAGGUCCCAAAUUCGAAUCCUAGUUGAUUCACAUUUCUAGCUAAGUUUAUUUCUAAAUAAAAUAAACGAAGCAGGUAGCGUGCUACCUAUCUCUCUUUAGACUCAGGAUUAAAUUAACCCAACAUCGAUCAACUGAGUUAUGAGAAUCUAAAUUAACCCA